AGUGAACGCUGGCGGUAGGCCUAACACAUGCAAGUCGAACGGCAGCACAGUAAGAGCUUGCUCUUACGGGUGGCGAGUGGCGGACGGGUGAGGAAUACAUCGGAAUCUACUUUUUCGUGGGGGAUAACGUAGGGAAACUUACGCUAAUACCGCAUACGACCUACGGGUGAAAGCAGGGGAUCUUCGGACCUUGCGCGAUUGAAUGAGCCGAUGUCGGAUUAGCUAGUUGGCGGGGUAAAGGCCCACCAAGGCGACGAUCCGUAGCUGGUCUGAGAGGAUGAUCAGCCACACUGGAACUGAGACACGGUCCAGACUCCUACGGGAGGCAGCAGUGGGGAAUAUUGGACAAUGGGCGCAAGCCUGAACCAGCCAUACCGCGUGGGUGAAGAAGGCCUUCGGGUUGUAAAGCCCUUUUGUUGGGAAAGAAAAGCAGCAGGUUAAUACCACGCUGUUCUGACGGUACCCAAAGAAUAAGCACCGGCUAACUUCGU
rnacentral:rRNA from 1 species